CGGGUGAGUAACGCGUGGGUAACCUGCCCUGUACACACGGAUAACAUACCGAAAGGUAUGCUAAUACGGGAUAACAUAAGAAAUUCGCAUGUUUUUCUUAUCAAAGCUCCGGCGGUACAGGAUGGACCCGCGUCUGAUUAGCUAGUUGGUGAGGUAAUGGCUCACCAAGGCGACGAUCAGUAGCCGACCUGAGAGGGUGAUCGGCCACAUUGGAACUGAGACACGGUCCAA
rnacentral:rRNA from 1 species